rnacentral:rRNA from 1 species
UACCAGCUCUCCGAGUGGUGUGGAUGUUUAUUGGGCCUAAAGCAUCCGUAGCUGGCUGGGCAAGUCCCCUGUUAAAUCCACCGAUUUAAUCGUUGGAGUGCGGGGGAUACUGUUCGGCUAGGGGACGGGAGAGGCAGACGGUAUUUUCGGGGUAGGGGUGAAAUCCUAUAAUCCCGGGAAGACCACCAGUGGCGAAGGCCGUCUGCUAGAACGCGCCCGACGGUGAGGGAUGAAAGCUGGGGGAGCGAACCGGAUUAGAUACCCGGGUAGUCCCAGCUGUAAACGAUGCUGGCUAGGUGUUUGGGCGGCCACGUGCCGCUCUAGUGCCGCAGGGAAGCCGUUAAGCCUGCCGCCCGGGGAGUACGGCCGCAAGGCUGAAACUUAAAGGAAUUGGCGGGGAGCACCACAAGGGGUGAAGCUUGCGGUUU